rnacentral:lncRNA from 1 species
ACGUUACAUCUUUACAUAAAACUUUGCCUACUAUUUACAAGAUUUUUCUUGAAAUAAAUAAAUACUAGCCUAACAAGACAAAGACUUUUCUAGCCUAAUAAGACUAAAAUACUAGCCUAAAAAUACUACACUUUUCUUGAAAUAAAUACUAGCCUAACAUGACAAACACUUUUCUUGAAAAAUACUAGCCCAAUAAGACUAGCCUAACAAGACUAAACUAAAAUACUAUAUUUUUUGAAAAUUACAAGACUUUUUACAAAAAACUCUUUUAGUCUUCAUUUUGCUCUUUGUCUUCUUCUUCUUUGUCUUUUUCCAUAGUAGGUGGAAGAUAAACUUUAGGAAUAUCUUCAUUUUGGUUGCAAUAAUUGCAAUGGUGCAAGUUGAAUAAAUCCUUCAAUUGUUGACAUAAUAGGUAUUUUGUCUUCUCCGUCAUCUGCUUCGGAUAUGUC